GAUAAACGCUGGCGGCGUGCCUAACGCAUGCAAGUCGAACGAAGCCUUCGGGCUGAGUGGCGGACGGGUGAGUAACACGUAGGAACCUGCCUGGGAGUGGGGGACAACCCCGCGAAAGCGGGGCUAAUACCGCAUCCGGUCUACGGACCAAAGCCUUCGGGCGCUCUCAGAGGGGCCUGCGGCGGAUUAGCUUGUUGGUGGGGUAACGGCCUACCAAGGCGACGAUCCGUAGCUGGUCUGAGAGGAUGGCCAGCCACACUGGGACUGAGACACGGCCCAGACUCCUACGGGAGGCAGCAGCGAGGAAUUUUCCGCAAUGGGCGAAAGCCUGACGGAGCAACGCCGCGUGGGGGAAGAAGGCCUUCGGGUUGUAAACCCCUGUUGCGAGGGAAGAAGAUCUGACGGUACCUCGCGAGGAAGCCACGGCUAACUACGUGCCAGCCGCCGCCGUAA
rnacentral:rRNA from 1 species